CUUGCUCUUUUCGCACAACACUUGUUCGGAGCCUCUCGAAGGACGAUAAAGGAUUUCCAUACUAUACUACUACUCAAUACAUCCACGACGUGCAGAACGGUAACAUGUCUUCAAAUAUAACUUGGGUGUACGGAUUAAAUUAUAUUUGAACUACAUGUUAGGG
rnacentral:ribozyme from 1 species